GACGAGCGCUGGCGGCGUGCCUAAUACAUGCCAGUCGAACGCUUCUUUCCUCCCGAGUGCUUGCACUCAAUUGGAAAGAGGAGUGGCGGACGGGUGAGUAACACUUGGGUAACCUACCCAUCAGAGGGGGAUAACACUUGGAAACAGGUGCUAAUACCGCAUAACAGUUUAUGCCGCAUGGCAUAAGAGUGAAAGGCGCUUUCGGGUGUCGCUGAUGGAUGGACCCGCGGUGCAUUAGCUAGUUGGUGAGGUAACGGCUCACCAAGGCCACGAUGCAUAGCCGACCUGAGAGGGUGAUCGGCCACACUGGGACUGAGACACGGCCCAGACUCCUACGGGAGGCAGCAGUAGGGAAUCUUCGGCAAUGGACGAAAGUCUGACCGAGCAACGCCGCGUGAGUGAAGAAGGUUUUCGGAUCGUAAAACUCUGUUGUUAGAGAAGAACAAGGACGUUAGUAACUGAACGUCCCCUGACGGUAUCUAACCAGAAAGCCACGGCUAACUACGUG
rnacentral:rRNA from 1 species